UUUUAUAUUUUUAAUGACUCAAAUCCUCCAUAUCUCAAUUUCUCACCUAAAGCUGACCAUGUUUAAUCCAUCUCUGAUACUGUUUACUCCAUUUGUAUGUGUUUUUGCUUCUUAAUCAGCAUAAGAAGGGGAUUCCCACAGUAGAGCAUCUCAGUGUGAUGUUUGCAUAGUCAAUUGUUAGCAGAAACCUUUGUUCUACUUGAAUUGCUUUAUUUUUGUGAUGAUAAGAAUUUGGAAUCUUCACAGCCUUCUGGUCUUACCUGAAUCUUGAUAUGUUACUGGCCAAGAUCUGUUCUCCUAAAUCUUCUUCUUAAAAAAUUUUUUGCUACUAUAACACAAAGUUUCAAAGCAUUCGCUGGUAUUUGUAUCUUUACAAACCUUUUAACCAAGUGCAGUUUACAUACAUACUGGUGAAUUAUGCCCAUCAAAAUGUUCAUGACAAAGUAUCUUACUCAAAAUAUUUAAGGAAAAAUAGUAAGCUUACAAUGGAGAAUCCUGGCAGACAAGUAAUGUCUAAAAUGUUAGCUAAAUGAUCAAAGUCAACAUCACCAGUAAUAUAUAUUAACAUCACGUGAUGCAUUAAGAUUGCACAUCAAGGGCGCCUGGGUGGCUCAGUCAGUUAAGAGAGCACAUCACCUCUAUGGUAUCCUUUCUACUAAUGGGUACCCACAGCCUAAUAAUGGAAGAACACCAGACAAACCCAAAUUGGGGAACACUACACGAUAACUAACCAGGAGUCUUCUACAGUGUCAAGGUCAUAAAAGACUAGAAAAGUCUGAGGAACUGUCACUGAUCAGUGAAAAGUAAAGAGGCAUGGUAAUUAAAUAACGUGGGAUCUUGAAAUGGAAAAAGGAUAUCAGUUGAAAAACUGGUACAAUCUGAGUAAGUUCUAUAUUUGUACCAAUGUUAAUUUCUUAGUUUUGAUAAAUGUCUUUGGUUAUAUAAGAUGUUAAAAUAAGGGGAAGGUGGAUGUAGGGUAUUUGGGAACUCUACUAUUUUUUGCAACUCUUCUGUAAGUCUGAAAUAUCUCAAAAAAAAAAAAAAAAGCAAAGUUGUCAGAAUCUAAAGGA